rnacentral:rRNA from 1 species
AGCGGCGGACGGGUGAGUAACGCGUGGGUAACCUGCCCUAUACAGGGGGAUAACAGUUAGAAAUGAUUGCUAAUACCGCAUAAGCGCACGGAGCCGCAUGGCGCUGAGUGAAAAACGAUAGUGGUAUAGGAGGGACCCGCGUCUGAUUAGGUAGUUGGUGAGGUAACGGCCCACCAAGCCGACGAUCAGUAGCCGACCUGAGAGGGUGACCGGCCACAUUGGGACUGAGACACGGCCCAAACUCCUACGGGAGGCAGCAG